rnacentral:rRNA from 1 species
CCNGAGUACUAUGAAUGUUUAAAAAUUUAAAACUCAAAGAACUUGGCGGUGUUUUAGACCACCCAGGGGAACCUGUCUCGUAAUCGAUAAUCCACGUUGUACCUGACCUCUUUUUGUUUUCAGUUUGUAUACCGUUGUCGUCAGGUAACUUUUUAGAAACUAGAAGUUAGCAAUUAAAAUGUUGGUAAUUUAAUAUGUCAAAUCAAGGUGCAGCUAAUAAAGAGGGGAGGAUGGGUUACAAUUAUAUAAUUCAUAAUGACGGAUAAGUAUAUGGAUAUGUGUUAAGUUAUAAGGAGGACUUGGAAGUAAAUUAGGAUAUAUAAAUAAUUUGAAUUAGGCUCUGAGACGUGU